rnacentral:rRNA from 1 species
GACGAACGCUGGCGGCGUGCUUAACACAUGCAAGUCGAGCGGAAAGGCUCCUUCGGGGGUACUCGAGCGGCGCACGGGUGAGUAACACGUGAGUAAUCUGCCCUGUGCUCUGGGAUAGCCACCGGAAACGGUGAUUAAUACCGGAUAUGACCACUCCGCGCAUGUGGUGGUGGUGGAAAGUUUUUCGGCGCAGGAUGUGCUCGCGGCCUCUCAGCUUGUUGGUGAGGUAAUGGCUCACCAAGGCUUUGACGGGUAGCCGGCCUGAGAGGGUGACCGGUGACACUGGGACUGAGAUACGGCCCAGACUCCUACGGGAGGCAGCAGUGGGGAAUAUUGGACAAUGGGCGGAAGCCUGAUCCAGCAACGCCGCGUGAGGGAUGACGGCCUUCGGGUUGUAAACCUCUUUCAGUACCGACGAAGCGUGAGUGACGGUAGGUACAGAAGAAGGACCGGCCAACUACGUGCCAGCCGCCGCCGUAACAC